GCCGGCAAACGGCUCAGUAACACGUAGGUUAUCUACCCUCAGGACUGAGAUAACCCCGGGAACUGGGGCUAAUACCAGAUAGAUAAAAGAUACUGGAAUGUUCUUUUAUCCAAAGCUUUUGUGCCUGAGGAUGAGCCUGCGCCCGAUUAGGUAGUUGGUGGGGUAAUGGCCCACCAAGCCUGCGAUCGGUACGGGCAGUGGGAGCUGUAGCCCGGAGUUGGGGACUGAGACAAGGCCCCAGGCCCUACGGGGCGCAGCAGGCGCGAAACCUCUGCAAUGCGGGAAACCGUGACAGGGGGAUUCCAAGUGCUCAUGCGUUGCAUGGGCUGUUCUUUGGUCUAAGUAACCAGAGGAGUAAGGGCUGGGCAAGACCGGUGCCAGCCGCCGCGGUAACACCGGCGGCUCGAGUGGUAACCGUUAUUAUUGGGUCUAAAGGGUCUGUAGCCGGCCGGAUAAGUCUCUUGAGAAAUCUGGCAGCUUAACUGUCAGGCUUUCAGGAGAUACUGUCUGGCUCGAGGCCGGGAGAGGUGAGAGGUACUUCAGGGGUAGGGGUGAAAUCUUGUAAUCCUUGAAGGACCACCAGUGGCGAAGGCGUCUCACCAGAACGGACCUGACGGCAAGGGACGAAAGCUAGGGGCACGAACCGGAUUAGAUACCCGGGUAGUCCUAGCCGUAAACGAUACUCGCUAGGUGUCGGCCACGGUGCGACCGUUGUCGGUGCCGUAGGGAAGCCGUGAAGCGAGCCACCUGGGAAGUACGGCCGCAAGGCUGAAACUUAAAGGAAUUGGCGGGGGAGCACCACAACGGGUGGAGCUUGCGGUUUAAUUGGAGUCAACGCCGGGAAGGGC
rnacentral:rRNA from 1 species